UGCCAACAGCUUACCACUCUGCAUCCCACUGCUGGCUUGCCUCUGAAGCUAAGCAGGGUUGGUCCUGGUCAGUUCCUGGGUGGGAGACCAGAUGCUGCUGAAAGGGGUGUUGGAGG
rnacentral:rRNA from 1 species